AUGCUACCGACAAAUAUGCUCAAUGCUGCAACCGGUGCUAUGCGGAGUCUGCAUGACAGUGUUCUUUCUUUAGAGAAGCGGCGUCUCAGAGAGAAGGAUGUGGCAUACCCGGUUUUCGCGGCCAAGUUGCCAGAGGGCAAGGGCUUUGUGGAUAACUCCAUCGGGCGUACGAUCGUCCUGCGGUUUGAUGACAUCCACGCUAUGAUGAACCUUCAUCCGCUGCACUACACCUUCGUUCGGCUAUUUUCGCUGAGUAUGGAGAUGCGGAUCAUUCACGACAAGACCCCGGACAUCGUGAUAGUCGACCCCUUCUACAUGUGUGCCAAGAUCUUGGGCAGCGCUGGGGACCGGCAAGUCGCGAGUUCUUACCUCGAAGGCGUCAUUCUGGCAAACCAAGAUAAGGAUAACUUCCUCGUGCCUUACUUUCCUGAGUAA
rnacentral:rRNA from 1 species